rnacentral:rRNA from 1 species
CUUUGCCGCCAGCUAGCUCUCUGCAACUCUCACAUGGUGGCCCUCUGAAGCUAAGCAGGGCUGCACCCGGUAAGUUCCUGGAUGAGAGACCACAUGGAAAAGCUAUAGGUUGCUGCUGAAA